UUCCAAUAGGUGUCAGAGGGAUGAUGUCAUCAUGUCUUUAACAUCUGGAAAACUCCAAUGCAUACAUGUGGGAGUAUAAUAUGGACUUUGGAGUUGGGCAGCCCUUUUGUGACCAUGAGGCAACACUGAAGAUGCAAGCCACAUGCUAAGACAGAAGAAAAUAAAGACAGAACUAAGCUGGGGCAUGUAUGACAUUUCAAGUUCUCAGAUCAGCCCUUGAUGGCCACCAUCCAUAUUUAUUGACAUGAAAAGCGGUCCUCAUUUUGUCAAAGCCAAUGGUAUUCAGGACUCUGUUAUUAAUAACAAAAUGCAAUUCUUCCCUCUACCCACUACAGUUUAUCAUGAAACUCUUCAAACACAUAGGAAAGUUGAGUAUGGAAUUUCUAUCUCCAGCCUUGAGGUCUCACCUGGACUCCUGGUUAUUCAAUGGACUACUCUGCAUCUCCAUGUGCAUCUCUAAUAGCCUCCUCAACCUUAAUGUAUCCACAACUAAACCUUUGGUUCUGCACCA